GACGAACGCUGGCGGCGUGCUUAACACAUGCAAGUCGAACGGAAAGGCCCUGCUUUUGUGGGGUGCUCGAGUGGCGAACGGGUGAGUAACACGUGAGUAACCUGCCCUUGACUUUGGGAUAACUUCAGGAAACUGGGGCUAAUACCGGAUAGGAGCUCCUGCUGCAUGGUGGGGGUUGGAAAGUUUCGGCGGUUGGGGAUGGACUCGCGGCUUAUCAGCUUGUUGGUGGGGUAGUGGCUUACCAAGGCUUUGACGGGUAGCCGGCCUGAGAGGGUGACCGGCCACAUUGGGACUGAGAUACGGCCCAGACUCCUACGGGAGGCAGCAGUGGGGAAUAUUGCACAAUGGGCGGAAGCCUGAUGCAGCAACGCCGCGUGCGGGAUGACGGCCUUUGGGUUGUAAACCGAUUUCGCCUGUGACGAAGCGUGAGUGACGGUAAUGGGUAAAGAAGCACCGGCUAACUACGUG
rnacentral:rRNA from 1 species